ensembl:lncRNA
AAGCCAUAAUGGAGCAGCACUUUAGAGAUUUUCAGUUCAGAUGCCUCCCCUUUAAGUUUCUUUAAAUUAGAGCAUUUCCAGACUAAACUUUCUUUCCUGAACCAUGAACCAUUGGCCCCUCCUGUCAGAAAUUUAGAAUUAUUCCCAUGUCUAUGUAACUCAUAGUAAAUGUUGACAUUCAAUGAGGAAGAAAAAUAGCCUUAAAAAGAAAGCCUGCUGGUUCAGGGAAUAAUUUCUGUGCUUUUUCAGUUCAACACAUUUAAAAUGAGUUUUAUUUUGUGUGCUCAUAACAACUAAAGUUCAAUAUUAUGCUGUAUUCAAGUGUGUAGGUAUUGAACCUCAAAGGACUUUUUAAGUUUAACUUUGUAUGGAAAGUAUAUGAUUAUGUAGGUAGUCUUUGGAUAAUAAUGGGUUAUCAAGUGAUUUGAAAAACUAUCAGGCCCAUCUUAUUCUUUCUAAACCUCUUACUUUCCCUGUUCAGUCAUGAGAACUCUGUAUUUCCAUCAAGAAAGAGGAGGAAACAGCUUUAUUGAGAUAAUUCAAAUAGCUCAGAUAAUACAGGAAUGAGAGUCUAUUGUGAAAUUUGCAGUAGAUGUUCCUGGAAUGGAGCUAAGUAAAAAUUUUCCCCAGACUCCUGCCAUAUGUAAUCAUUCAAUACAACAAUUCUGUUCAAAAAUAAAUUUGUUAAUAAAUUUUCCAUUUAGAUGCAUCCAUGUGUCUCUAGAAGAGUGGUCAUCAACAAAUAAACUUAACAAAGUCAGGCAUAAAUAAACUAAAUUUAGGUGCCCCGGACUUGGAAAUAAGAUUAAGCUCUGUGAUUGAAAAUAUAGGACCAACACCUAAUAAAUGGAUAAAGUAGCUAUUUAGAGAUAUACACCACAGAAAGAGAAGGUAUUCAAGUUUGGGGCUAUAAAACUGGAGAAAUCAUGAAGUCCAAUGAAAGCAAGAUUGCCAUUGAAACGCAGUCUCAUCAAAGUUUAAUCAGAAUUGGGGUUGAUGUAAAAGAACACUGGAAUGUUGUCAUUUCAUCUGAAAAUGAAGUGUUUUCACAGAAGGAAGUUGGUUUACAUGGAGUUUAGUUAGGGAACCUUAAAACCAAGGAUUUGGCAGUGUUUAUCUAACUGUGUCCAGGAGAGAAAAAUACGGAAUCUGGCAGUCAUAUACAGAAUGUUGGGGACAAUCAUGAGAUUAAAGUCAUGUGUUGUUAUUUUGCCUAAGAUUUAGGAAUAUUUCACUUCACUCUCUCUGUCAGGAAUCCACAACAGAGCAAGGUCAGGAGACAGAGCAAAGCAAGUCAUUACUAUUACUUAGCUGGAGCUCUGGCCCCAAGCACUUCUGUGGACCUCUGGUCAAUCAGGAUAGACCAACUGGAGGAAGUGGAGGCCAAAGUAGCCACAGGCCAGAGCAGACCAAAUUACUAGUUCCGUCCAUUCUAUUACAAGUCCCAACACAAGUAGAUGUUACUGCUCCCGGGUCAGCAAAUGGGCACACAGAGUAGACCCACUGGCAACAGAGGAAAAGGAGCAAGGACAAGGAAAGAAGUUUGUGCCUUGGUGCCCAAUGCUGCCUUCCCCAGACCUUGGGCUGCUCAGAGCAGUAGCCAACCUGCAUGGGAGGAACACCCAAAACAGAGAGAUUUGGCCAGGCCUGUUGGUCAAGCAGAAUCUAAUAAGCUCAGAAUGAUCCUCCAAACUAGGUAACUUUUCUUCUGAUUAGAAAUUUUACUUCUCAAGUAAUUUUUAAAAUCAUAACUGAAUAUCCAAAAUGGCAGAUUUAAGUGUUUCACUCGCUGGAAAAGUUUAAAACGUCAUUGCAAAACAAUGCAUUGUUUUUCUGGUUUAUUUCCCAGUCUCCUAAGUUAAAUUGCUUAGUGCAUGUCAGUCUGUAAGGGAGGUUGUGAAGUGUAGUAGAAAGGAUGAGGGUUUGAAACCAUACUUACUUGAGUUCAGAUGCUGAUUCAGUCCCUUAUUACCACUGUGUUACCUUGGACAAGUCAUUUGAACAGUCUAUGAAUCUAAGUUUCCUCCACUUCUUACAAACAAACAAACAAAAAAAGUGGUAUAUGGGGAUUGUUAGGGUUAAAUGAAUAGCAUUUAGAAUGUGUGUAGCACACAGCUUUGCAAGCAAUAAGCACUCAAAAUAUUAGAUGUCUUCUACCUUUGGCUUCUUUCCCCUGAGAUCCUGACCAAUCCUCCAUGGACCAACAAAAUCAAACCUGUAUGACUGUACGAAUCUGCUAUGGAUUAGAGCAGGGUCCUGGAGGCCUACAAAGACAGUGUCCUUGGUGGGCUCUGCUGGACCCAUUAGCUAAACCAUUCUCUAAGUUGAAAAACAAAAACAAAAACAAAAAAAA